CCUACGGGAGGCAGCAGUGGGGAAUCUUGCACAAUGGGCGAAAGCCUGAUGCAGCAACGCCGCGUGAAGGAAGACGGUUUUCGGAUUGUACACUUCUGUUCUUAGUGAAGAAUAAUUGCGGUAACUAAUGAGCAAGCCACUGCUAACUACGUGCCAGCAGCCGCGGUAAUACGUAGGUGGCAAGCGUUUUCCGGAAUUACAGGGUGUAAAGGGAGCGUAGGCGGGAAGACAAGUCAGCUGUGAAAACUACGGGCUUAACCUGUAGACUGCAGGUGAAACUGGCUUUCUUGAGUGAAGUAGAGGUUGGCGGAAUUCCGAGUGUAGCGGUGAAAUGCGUAGAGAUUCGGAGGAACACCGGUGGCGAAGGCGGCCAACUGGGCUUUAACUGACGCUGAGGCUCGAAAGUGUGGGGAGCAAACAGGAUUAGAUACCCCGGUAGUC
rnacentral:rRNA from 1 species